UACGAAGGGGGCUAGCGUUGCUCGGAAUCACUGGGCGUAAAGGGUGCGUAGGCGGGUCUUUAAGUCAGGGGUGAAAUCCUAGAGCUCAACUCCAGAACUGCCUUUGAUACUGAGGAUCUUGAGUUCGGGAGAGGUGAGUGGAACUGCGGGUGUAGAGGUGAAAUUCGUAGAUAUUGGGAAGAACACCGGUGGCGAAGGCGGCUCACUGGCUCAUUACUGACGCUCAGGCGCGACAGCGUGGGGAUCAAACAGG
rnacentral:rRNA from 1 species